AAAGUCGUAACAAGGUCUCCGUUGGUGAACCAGCGGAGGGAUCAUUACAGAGUUGCAAAACUCCCAACCAUUGUUAACAUACCUCUUGUUGCUUCGUCGGGUGGCCCCCGGACUCACCCUCCGGAAGGCCGGCCCCCCCGCACUCGGGGGGGCACCCCGUCAGAGGACCGUAACUCUUAGUCAUCAUUGGCCUCUCUGAGUAACUUAUACAAUAAGUCAAAACUUUCAACAACGGAUCUCUUGGUUCUG
rnacentral:misc_RNA from 1 species